rnacentral:rRNA from 1 species
GAUGAACGCUAGCGGCAGGCCUAAUACAUGCAAGUCGGACGGGAUUGAGGAGCUUGCUCUUCAUGAGAGUGGCGCACGGGUGCGUAACACGUAUGUAACCUACCUUGUUCAGGGGGAUAGCCUCUCGAAAGAGAGAUUAAGACCGCAUAACAUUGCGAUGUGGCAUCACAUUGUAAUCAAAUAUUUAUAGGAACAAGAUGGGCAUGCGGAACAUUAGCUAGUUGGUAAGGUAACGGCUUACCAAGGCUACGAUGUUUAGGGGAUCUGAGAGGGUGCCCCCCCACACUGGUACUGAGAGCCGGACAAGACUCCUACGGUAGGCAGCAGUAUGGAAUAUUGGUCAAUGGACGGAAGUCUGAACCAGGCAUGCCGCGUGCAGGAAGCCGGCCCUAUGGGUUGUAAACGGAUUUUGCAGGGGAAUAAACCUCGAUACGUGUAUCGGGCUGAAUGUACUCUGAGAAUAAGGAUCGGCUAACUCCGUGGCAGCCGCCGCUGUAAGAC